GCAGCGACCGGGGUGAGCGUCACGUGACACGGGGGUACGGGGCCGAGGGGCCGAGGAAGCGCGGGUCCUCGUGGGGCUGGGCGGUGGGUCUUGUGCUGAAGAUUGCAGAGCUGCUGCGCAGUAAUGACAUCACUGAUGGAAGAGCAGAGUACUGCGUUGAGAAAGCUGCCAGGCUCUUCCCUGGGAAUCCUGCUGCUUACAGAUUGAAGGAGCAGUUACUGGAGCAUCAAGGCAAAGAUGGCUGGAAUCAGCUCUGUGAUAUGAUUCAGACCGAGCUCUGUGCGAGACCAGGCGAUCCCUACCUUAACAUCGGACUGGUUGCGCUCUACCAUUCAAAUAACAGAUUAAGAGAUGCUGCGCUUCACUGUCAGGAGGCGGAGAAGAAAAUACCUGUAGGCUCCAGCUUGGAAUGGUGCUAGUGCGUCAUAAAGACGUUCGAGUUUUGAUCAUGUGCUUCACUCUGUGAGACCGUGUGCGAAUGGACCUGAUGAGCUGUCUCGUACCUUCCUUGAAAUGAAAGGACAUUUCUACAUACAUGCUGGAACUUUCCUGCUGAAAAUGGCACAGAACAGCGAGGCAUGAUGGAGAGAUGCGUGUGAACUUGCAGCCUUGUGUUACCUGAAAAGU